rnacentral:rRNA from 1 species
CGGUGAAUACGUUCCCGGACCUUGUACACACCGCCCGUCAAGCCAUGGAAGCUGGGUGUACCUAAAGUCGAUAACCGUAGGGAGCCGCCUAGGGUAAAACUAGUGACUGGGGCU